ACUGAUAAUGUGCAAGUCUUUCUCCAGAUCAAACAAUGAGAUGCCACAGGCAUGUAAGCAUUUUCUUGCAAGCUUAAGCUGCAGUUCUUGUUGCAGCACUGGCUCAGUACUUGUUGCAAAUAUUCGCACUACAAAGCCAUCAUCUCUAGAUGCUGCUAUUUGAUUAACAUAUUCUCCAUCAGUGAAGAGGAUAUUCUGCCCUUCAGUAUGACAAUCUGGUAAAGCAACUGUACCGUCCUGCUCCAAAGUUUCAGGAUUUAUUCUUAUGGCUGUCAUACUGUGAUUGUUCGCAUCUCUAUAUAAUAAAUAGCCCUGAGCAUAGCCUAACCAAGACUUUUUUUCCUUUCUGUUUUUGAUGCGAGAUGUAGAAUUGUAUAUAUGGCCCCUCACUGUCCCGCUAUAUCCAGAGCCAAUCUUGUAAAGUCCAUCUUUACAUAAGAGAUAAAGGAAGAAACCAUCACUCUGAAGUAGGCACUGGUCAUCUUCAUCUACAGAUAUUUCCUUCAGUGGCCAUUUGUGCAUCAAGGCUGCCUUCUUUAUCCCAUUACUGAACCAGUCUUGGAUUUGGAUUUUGC
rnacentral:lncRNA from 1 species